UACGUAGGUGGCAAGCGUUGUCCGGAAUUAUUGGGCGUAAAGCGCGCGCAGGCGGUCCUUUAAGUCUGAUGUGAAAGCCCACGGCUCAACCGUGGAGGGUCAUUGGAAACUGGGGGACUUGAGUGCAGGAGAGAAGAGUGGAAUUCCACGUGUAGCGGUGAAAUGCGUAGAGAUGUGGAGGAACACCAGUGGCGAAGGCGACUUCCUGGACCAAUACUGACGCUCAUGUGCGAAAGCGUGGGGAGCAAGCAGG
rnacentral:rRNA from 1 species